AUUUUGUUCCCGACACCAGGUUCCCCGUGCCGCCCGUCGGGUGCGGCCGGGGAUGAAAAGGGAAUCCUGUGAGAAUCAGGAGCUAUCCCCGUAGCUGUAAGUUCCGUGCACACCGUAUGCCCGCUGGCGGGAGAGUCCCGCAGAGCCGGUAUGCGGCAGGUGCGAAGGGUGAGCAUCCUUUGCCACUGGCCCCGAAGGGCCGGGAAGGCGCAAAACCCGGAACGAGCCAGAAGACCUGCCCGGUGCCGUAUUAACGU
rnacentral:ncRNA from 2 species